UAUUGGUCAAUGGGCGGUAGCCUGAACCAGCCAAGUCGCGUGAGGGAUUAAGGCCCUGCGGGUCGUAAACCUCUUUUGCCGGGGAGCAGUGGUCCGGACGUGUCCGGGCCGGGUGAGUACCCGGAGAAAAAGCAUCGGCUAACUCCGUGCCAGCAGCCGCGGUAAUACGGAGGAUGCGAGCGUUAUCCGGAUUUAUUGGGUUUAAAGGGUGCGUAGGCGGGCAUUUAAGCCGGCGGUCAAAUGUCGGGGCUCAACCCCGGCCUGCCGCCGGAACUGGGUGCCUUGAGUGGGCGAGAAGUAUGCGGAAUGCGUGGUGUAGCGGUGAAAUGCAUAGAUAUCACGCAGAACCCCGAUUGCGAAGGCAGCAUACCGGCGCCCUACUGACGCUGAGGCACGAAAGUGCGGGUAUCGAACAGG
rnacentral:rRNA from 1 species